ACUCUCACCCUUGCUUUGCAGCUUGUACAACACUGUACCGACUGUACAAUCAGUAUACAAUCUUGGUCUGUACCAGUGGCGGAUCCGGAAGCGAGGGUAUGGAUCCGCCGGAUCCGCCUCUGGUUUGUACGCAUGUGUGAGAAUGUGAGAAGAAGCAGCGCCUAUAGCUAUUCGGUAUUGCAAUAAACGAUCUAUGGACGAAGCGGAGGAGGAGGAAGAAGAAACGAUCUGAGGACAGCCUAAAUUCACCAAAGGAAUGAUACCACCAAAAUAUUGCGACGUAAGAUCACGUAAAACUAUGGACCCCCGUGGUGCUGCUGAUGCCUCUAUGUUGGCCAUUCUUGGUGUGUCUGUCUUGUCGCUUGGCCACGUGGUUGUAUCGUCUGUUUCUGGCAACCUUGGUCGUGUGGGGUAUCUGCCUUGCACGGACGCCUUCCAGAGGAAUACCAGCAGACGACAGCGACUACCCGCAUACGCCGCUCGCUCACAUUAAUCAGCCUCAGAAGACUGAGUCUUUUUCGAUAAUGCUCACCGGUCGAGUGUCAACGAGCUGCGAGGCCUCAGAACUGGAACCGUCGGUUCACGUUUCUUCCAGGAGCAGUCUAACGAUGAGAAGUCGAGCGUCCAGGCGGUCGGUUUCAGCGUCGUCAUCGUAGCCUUGCUCCUGUCUAAUUGGCACAUCGGUACUGUGGAAUAAAACGUUUGCGGGUCACCA